rnacentral:rRNA from 1 species
GGAAUUUUGCCCAAUGGACGAAAGUCUGAGGCAGCAACUCCGCGUGAGGGAUGAAGGCCUUCGGGUCGUAAACCUCUUUUCCCAGGGAAGAUCCAAGACGGUACCUGGGGAAUAAGCCACGGCUAACUACGUGCCAGCAGCCGCGGUAAUACGUAGGGGGCAAGCGUUUGCCGGAUUUACUGGGCGUACAGCGCGCGCAGGCGGCUGGCCAAGUCCGAUGUGAAAGCGUCCGGCUUAACUGGAAAACGGCAUCGGAUACUGGUCGGCCGGAAGGUGGGAGAGGGUAGCGGAAUUCCCGGUGUAGUGGUGAAAUGCGUAGAUAUCGGGAGGAACACCAGUGGCGAAAGCGGCUACCUGGCCCACUCUUGACGCUGAGGCGCGAAAGCUAGGGGAGCAAA